UUGUUUUGAAAAAAAUCCCUUCGAUGCCAU
rnacentral:piRNA from 1 species